rnacentral:sRNA from 1 species
GCAGGUUAGACUGAAGGGCGGGAUGCGGAAAUGCCCCCAAAUGGAGUAGG